AUACUUUAGCCUACACAAGCCUAGACAGGGAAAUAAUUAGAGCACAAUUUUGCUGGAUUACCACUGUAUUCUGUGUUUUUUUUUUACUAUCGUAAUGGUCAUCAUUUAUCGCAUAUUACAGGACAAAACAAGUUUAUGACUUCUGGAUUUAAUGACAGGCGAAUUGAGCAUUAGUUCGCUUUCUUACCACACCACAAUGGUUGUGCUAUACCAUGUUGCCUUACUUAUCUCUAGGAAAAGUAUUACGUGGUCAGUGAAUGAACAUCGGGAGCAGACAAGUCAACAUGGUUAACAUUGGUGACUACUCGUGGGUUUUUAUCAUUUUAGGACUUCUUUUAAUCGUAUGCUGCUGUGCGACGUGGAGUAAAAAGCUCAGAAACAAUUCCGAUUCAAACGGAGAGAAUAUUGAAACGGGCCAAGCCGGUGCAACCGGUGCAAGGAAUCCGAACCGAGCCCGAAUACUUCAUGUUGAAGCUAUAUAUUCGCCACCAUCACCGGGUAUCCGGCCGGACGAUUUUUCACCACCGCCUCUCUAUACGGGAAAUGAGCCUUCCCCCUUUUGUUUUCAAAAUGCAAACGGCCCGGGAUAUGCACUGACCAGUCAGGAUCCAGAAACUCCUUCACCCCCUCCCUCAUAUGAUGACGUCAUAAAAGCAGAUAACAGGCAAGCUUCGAAUUCCAGGGACAGAAAAAGACAGAAUAGCGAAACAGCCGACACGAAAUUAUGAUAAAGUUUAUCAUGCUUUUGUUAUCACGCCUGUAAUAUAAUGAGAAUAUGCGAGUUCUGACGAACUGUACAUUAUAUCACUAUCAGCAGCUGAAAGCCAAAAUCAAUGUAGGAGGCACUUUCUUUCAGAAUUUAACAGUAUCUUUCCCGACUUGGUAUAGGCCUUCCGGCCUCCCCUAUUGCUCUCUUAGAGGAGAAUGAAACUCUUGGAGCAAGUUAGCUUUUGUGAAAGCAGAAAAAUCAAAGAAUAAGAUCAACAAAAGUUUGAGUAAAAUAGGACUAGCAAUAGAAGAGCUAUGAGCAUUCGAAUGUCGAGAUCACUAAUGCUAUGGAGAUCCUCCAAUUGGCAAUGCGACCAAGAUCUAUGAUGUCACAGAUGAACAACUCUCCCCUUUUGGACGCUGAAAAUAUACCCCAAAACAUCUCUUUUUGCUCAUUCUAAUCAUAUGACAAAUGAUUCAUCAAUGAUAUAAUGUUGUGAAACCUCUGUACUUGUCCUCUCUUAAAGAGAACACCUCACCUUGUGAUAGACUCUAUAAAAGUGAGAAUAUAUGUGAAAUACGUACUAAAGUAAUGAGGGAGUUGUACGUGUGUGACAUCACAGAUCUUGGUCGCAUUGCCAAUACGAAGAUCUACAUGGCAUUAGUGAUCUCAAUAUUCAAAUGCUCGUAACUUUCUUAUUAUUCAUUCAAUCUUCCUCAAACUUUCAACAAUAUGAUUCUUUGAUUUUUUUCUUUGAUAUUGAUUCAGCUGGUUUCAAGGGUUUCAUUCUCCUUUAAGUUUUUUUUUCAUUUGGUGACCCGCCGAUGAGGACUCGAUGAUAUAGUUUUUGUUUAAUAAUGUAUCGAAAUAUUGAAUAUAAUGCUCAAGUGUAAAUAUUUUCAUGAAAAGCGAAGCAUUUCAUGAUUUGGAAAUAUCGGCGAAUAAAAACGUGCCCAAGAAAGCAAUAAACGUUCAUUUUUUUUUAAAAUAGGCCUACCAGCGCUGAACGCUAUGUUUUCUCAUAGAUAGUACUUUACUUUUUGACAUGAUAAAAAUGCUUUCAUAACAUUUUAAUGCUUUUCAUACUGUUUUCUAUGCUGCUGAGAAGAUAGCAACUUGCUGUUAAGAACACAGUGGGUCAAAGCAUGUUCACAGUGUGGUAGAAUAUGUAUGUGAUUCACACGUCUAAUAAAAUACUGAAAUUUAAUGGGCAAGUUCACCAAUCAAAUAGUUGAUUUGAAUAAAAAGAGAAAAGUCAAACAAGCACACCACUGAAAAUUUCAUCAAAUAAUAUCACAAAACAGUUACAUCCUGGUCGAUAGGCAAAUGAGGGGACCGAUGAAAUCCAAGUCACUAUUCCUUAUUAUAAUGAACUAUUUUAACUUUCUCCUCAUUUUUCAUGUGAAACAAGGUUUUAUUCCUCCCUGAUCACGUGGAAAUGCUAUCGUUUUAACAUUUUGUGGUUUAACCAAGAGUUUCCUUUAUGUUCAAAUCUGAAAAAGUGAAAUAUUGUAUUUAAUAGUUAAAACAAUAACCAACGAAAAGAAAUAGUGACACCAUCGACUCUCUAAUUUGCAUAAUAUCACUGUGUUGUGUAUACAGUAUAAUUGGUGGGUGUUUGGUAUAUAACAUUUACCACCGUAAAGGAUCACCAGUUGUUCUUAAAGUCGCUCUUAACUUAGGAACAGCUUUAUGAAACGGCCCCCUGUUUUGUGGAAAAAUAUUUGAAUGCAAUAACCUCCUUAUUUUAUAUCCGAUUUUGAUGAAAUUUCAGUUUUAUGCUUGUUUUAUGUUUCUCCAUUGGUUCAAAUCAGUUCUUUUUUUCGGGGGGGGGGGCUUGACCUUUAACAGAGUGAAGACAAAUUCACACUGUCAAGACUGUGGAUCCACUCUUCUUCAGGGAGUCUGAGUAAUGUGCAAAUUGCCAUGGUUGCGUUCACGAAGUGGAUUAUGACUUCUGAAUAUGUGAUUACACUGUGAAUGCUCAAAUUAUUUUAGAUUAUUUUCCACACUUCACUUUUUUGGCAUAGCAGUGUGUGGUGGAAAACUUUUUUUUCCAGUAGGGGUUUAUAAAUUAUGAUCGCAUUAUUCGAUGUAUUCCCAUAUCGGUCAGAUUAACUCUACUGUACAGAACACAAUGUGACACAGGUUGUAUCACCUUCACACUGUUAAAUUUGAGGAUUUCAACAGUGUGGAUCACAUCAUCACAUAGUCGACCAUGAUUAAGAACAUGCUGUCACACUAUUGAGGUGUCCACGGUGGGAUAUACAUGUUUACAAUGUUUAAUUUGAGCAUUCCAACAGUGUGAAUAAUAUUUUCAGUGUGCCACAGUGUGUAUCACCUUCACAUGUAUGCAGUGUUAGAUGUAAGGAUUUCAACAAUGUGGAUCACAUCAUCAAAAGUGGAACAUGAUUGUGAACACGCUGUGAACAGUCACAGUCCAGGUGUCCACUGUGUGAAAAUAUCUCUACAAUCGAAUUUGAGCAUUCCAACAGUGUGAAUAAUAUUUUCAGCGUGCCACAGUGUGUAUCACUUUCACAUGUAGGCCUAUGCAGUGUUAAAUGUAAGGAUUUUAGCAGUGUGAAUCACAUCAUCACAUAGUCGACCAUCAUUGUGAACACGCUGUGAACGGUCACACUGUCGAGGUGUCCACUGUGUGACAAUAUCUCUACAAUGUUGAAUUUGAGCAUUUCAACAGUGUGAAUAAUAUAUUUUCACAAUGGUCCACUAUGUGGCAUUGUGUUCUUUCCCGCAGGGAUAGAGUACUUUAACACUAUAUCCAUCGAUACAUUCUAAUUGUAUUCAUACAAAGGUUGUUCUCAGAUGACUCAAAAUGAAAUCGUGCCAUGGAAAAACUAACCUGUGCCCCGUUGUAUAAAAGUUAAGUACUCUGCGUUCCGGUAACUUCCUUGAAAUCCUUGAUUUUGAUUGGCUGCUUAGCAUUGUUACCAUGGUAGUUACCAUUGGAGGGCAAAGUUUUACCAUGGUAACUUUUAUGCAACGGGACACCGGAUUACUAUUGUUAACAUAUUUAUCAACAUCUUAUUCUAUUAUUAAUAUUUUUACCGUUACAGAGAAAUUUGUUCUUGGUGAUCAAAAUGAUUUGUAUAGUAUAUGAAAGAACGAAAUAACGAAAAUAAAAGGAAGAGUUUGAAAUAUAUCGGGCAAACAAAAAGGAGGUUGUGGAUGGUUUUAAUGUAAGUUUAAAUUGGCAACCCGGUGAGUCGAUUUUGACAGGUGGUACACUGUCUUUUAGAAAAAGAAAGGGGGAACUGAUAAGACCCUUUCUUAGUUUCUCUUUGUCCCGGAUAGGUAACCUUUUAUUAGGUUCUUCGUAUAGAAGCAGGAACGGGUUCUAAACAAUCAUUUCGAAUUAGAACCGUUUUAUUGUAUUUUCCUUUUUAAGGGGAUGGGGUUCCAGAGUAUCGAUUUCAGGUUCUUUUAUAUACGAACUUUGGUGUGAGGAAACCUGCCAAUUUUUGUAUAGGGUUCUUUAUACAGCAUGUGAUAAUCUUUUAAAAAAUGUAGGUUCUUUACCACAUUGAGGACCCCAUAUUUAUUUUAUUUAUUCAUUAGAUUUUUGUAUAUUGCUAACCUCACAAAUAAAGCUUUUAAAAUUUUGAAGACUAGGGACACUUAUCCAAAUUUUCACGUACUUAAUGUUUAGGAUAACCACCCAUGUUCUAAGUUUUACUCGGGAAUGUACAUAAUCAAUAUAUCACUUAAUUUGUUAAAAUGUGCUCAUUAAAAAAAAUGCUAUUUUGAACAAGACUCCAAGAAAUGACAUUCCGGUAGGUCGUAUUUUAUGUAUUUUGUUAACAUGGCGAACUGAUAAGUACCUCUACUUUGCAGCGUAUGAUAAAGGACCUUCUUAUAUUACGAAUUUAGAACGAUUAUAAUUCUGCACUUCUUUCAAACAAGAAAUGACUUAUGGUUCAUUGUGUGUUCAAGUUUGUCCAAACAUUCACCUAUCUGCAUGGGUUUUUCCCCUAUUUUUCUUAAAAAUACCCCAUUCCAUUUGAUUUACCCACAAAAAUGUCGAUUGUCAUGAAUGUCAAUAAGAUAGGCUCCCUAUUGAAUAAGGUUUUGUCAAAGUAGGUCUAUUCAAAUUCUAUUGACAGGAUUCAUUGUUAUCCAUUCUUUUUAUAUUUAUAUUUCUCAUAAUAAUAUUAUUCUAUGAUUUCCGUGCAAUCAUAAAAAACACAUGUGAUCAUGAUGACUAGAAAGCUUUAAAUUUUAUAUUUUAUCAUCUUCCAAAAAUUAAUAUGCGUUUGAGUAAUUGUUGCUGGAUUUGCAUGUAAGCAAUGAUUGCAGUUGGACCCGCUUAUGGGAUAUAAAAUGCUUUAUGUGCCCUGAAAUAAUAUGCAACUAUAUUAUCAUAAAUAUA